rnacentral:rRNA from 1 species
AUUNGUAACGCUGGCCGGCAGGCCUAACNCAUGCAAGCUCGANCGGAAACGAGUUCNCUGAACCUUCGGGGAACGUNAACGGCGUCGAGCGGCGGACGGGUGAGUAAUGCCUGGGAAAUUGCCCUGAUGUGGGGGAUAACCAUUGGAAACGAUGGCUAAUACCGCAUAAUAGCUUCGGCUCAAAGAGGGGGACCUUCGGGCCUCUCGCGUCAGGAUAUGCCCAGGUGGGAUUAGCUAGUUGGUGAGGUAAGGGCUCACCAAGGCAACGAUCCCUAGCUGGUCUGAGAGGAUGAUCAGCCACACUGGAACUGAGACACGGUCCAGACUCCUACGGGAGGCAGCAGUGGGGAAUAUUGCACAAUGGGCGCAAGCCUGAUGCAGCCAUGCCGCGUGUAUGAAGAAGGCCUUCGGGUUGUAAAGUACUUUCAGCAGUGAGGAAGGUUCAUACGUUAAUAGCGUAUGGAUUUGACGUUAGCUGCAGAAGAAGCACCGGCUAACUCCGUGCCAGCAGCCGCGGGUAAUA